CUGAGGAACUGCAGUUCAAAUAGCACAGUGUGCGGUAAAUCAGGAAUAACUAGUUAAGAAAUUCAGUUGGUAGCUAUUUUCCUCAUCCUUUUUUAUACUUACAAUUUCAUCCCCGUUGAUCUGAACUGCUGUUAGUAGGUACUGAUAUAAUCAAAAGCUUAGGUCACAUUUGCAUAUUAUCCUGUUAAACAUUGGUCUACUUCUUUAAGGAAAUGGGGACCUUGGUCCUACAGCUGCGAGGAACUACUUUCUGCCAACUACGUGAAUGAGCAAGGAAACAGAUUCUCCCCUUCUCCAUCUGACCUACAGACCUGCAACAUCAUGACCUUUAGUUAAGUGGAUAAGCUUGUGGUAGUUUUUUAUUGUAAUAAUAGAAAAUGAAUACAAAUGGGAAUAAAAAUAAUGUUUACCUUAUAAAGAUAUAGAGAGUAUUACAUACAGUCAUGCGUCACUUAAUGUCAGGCAUACGCUCUGAGAAAUGUGUCCUUAGGUUAUGAUAUGGUUUGGAUCUGUGUCCUCGCUCAAAUCUCAUGUUGAAAUGUAAUCUCCAAUGUUGGAGGAAGGGCCUGGCAGGAGGUGAUUAGAUCAUGAGCCGGAUUUUUUAUGAAUGGUUUAGUACCAUCCCCUUGGUACUCUCCUU
rnacentral:lncRNA from 10 species